UCAUAGGUGCCAGAAGUUUAUGGGUUGGUUUUAAGCGUCAAUUAUGGGAUAUUUCCUCCUAUGUA
rnacentral:tRNA from 1 species